UAAUACAGAGGUCCCAAGCGUUGUUCGGAUUCACUGGGCGUAAAGGGUGCGCAGGUGGGUUGGCAAGUUCGAUGUGAAAGCCCCGGGCUUAACCCGGGAAUGGCAUUGGAUACUGCUGAUCUGGAGGAUCGGAGGGGGGACUGGAAUUCUUGGUGUAGCAGUGAAAUGCGUAGAUAUCAAGAGGAACACCAGUGGCGAAGGCGAGUCCCUGGACGAUACCUGACACUGAGGCACGAAAGCCAAGGGAGCAAACAGGAUUAGAUACCCUGGUAGUCUUGGCUGUAAACGGUGCGUAUUUGCUGUAAACGGAAUCGACCCCGUUUGUGGCGUAGCUAACGCGAUAAAUACGCCGCCUGGGAAGUACGGUCGCAAGAUUA
rnacentral:rRNA from 1 species